AAAAUACGUUUCUCGCUCAUAUUCUGACACUGCUUGCUUUCCUGUGUAAUCACAUACGGCGAGAAACGACGAGAGCGAGAAUUUAAAAAUUCGCUCGCUAAACAUAGCACGCGAAUUCGAUGACGUCAGAAAUCGCUCGCAGCUCUAAAUUCGCGUCUGCAUGGCUGUAACCAAAGUUUGAUUUUCGUGGCAUAGAUGAGCUCGUUUAACGAUUUUUCGGCUACCGACUGCUCCAUUCUUUUUCUUUUUAUUUUCGGCCCGCUUGAGCUAAAUAGUUUUUUUUUUUGGGCGCCCAGUAUUUCUGGUCGGAGUAUUAUUGUUUUAGUUGACAGAAUGACAGUCCACGACUUGUGCUUGGCAAAUUUAAGUUUUCUAGUGCAAAUUCUCCUCAUAACCAUUUCGAAUUUUCACUUCUCUUACACGAUGAGACUUCUUCCAUCGUUGAUUAAGUGAAAUUAAAAAUGUGCUUAUACUUCGUCUAAGGGUGCGACUAUGCAGACGCGAAUUUGGAGCUGCGAGCGAUUUCUGACGUCAUCUUGACGUCAUCACGCUCGCGCAGGUGCGAUCAUGCAGACGCGAGAAAGUCGAAAUAUCGCACACGAGAGCGAAAAUACGUUUCUCGCUCAUAUUUUGACACUGCUUGCUUUCCUGUGUAAUCACAUACGGCGAGAAACGACGAGAGCGCGAAUUUGAUGACGUCAGAAAUCGCUCUCAGCUUUA
rnacentral:lncRNA from 1 species